CAGGAUCCUCAGUUAUCAAAACAGUCAUCAUCAUGUAUUCUUUUUUCAUGCAUUUCCAAGGCGGCAAAUUAUAUGGGAAUGCGAAAAUCGGCCAAGUGCUGUGGUGUUGGUUUAGAACCCCAUACGGAUUGAAUCCGUCAGUGGCAAGUCCCAAUCUUACAUUUCGGGGAUCAGCAGCAAACUCGGGGAACGUUCGAUCGAACUCUUUCCAUGCCUCCCCAUCUGCAGGAUGCCGCAUCACAUCAUCGUCUACCC
rnacentral:lncRNA from 1 species